rnacentral:misc_RNA from 1 species
CUUAAUAGAAGAUCGUUACGGUUUUCAUUCAUACAUGCCAUUGUAUGUGUAUUUGUUUGAUAGAACUACACAUAUUUAUAAGAACUGAUCGUUACAAAAUGUAUUGGCAAACAAGGUUAAAAUUUGUCUUUGGAAAAAUCGUCCCGACGUGGUCAGAAAGAGUUAUCCCCCUUGGCCGGCAUAGCGAUCGGUUUUCGAUCAAACAUUUAUCGAUACUGAGAUGGAGAACGUCAACGUGCCUGCUGACCCUGCACAUGACGCAUGUUUGUAUUCUAUGGUAUCCAAGUGGGCUGUGUCCUGCCACAUUCAGGAAAUUUGAGGUGCAACCCUUGUAGGAAAUCAGGUUUCACUGUCCAGUUACAAGAAGCCUGGUGCAAAUAACUUGUUUGGUCCAGUUGCACCCAACAAAGGGCAACUACCAUGCUGUAAUGAAACUUGAUGGUAUCAGUUUACACCAACGCUAAACUACAUAUACAGCUCCCAAUACAGUGUGCUUUGAGAAGGGAGAGCAACUAUGCCCUGUACGUUUCUGGAAAGAAGAAGUGUUGAGAAGAAGAGUUCUGUGUUGAAGUCAGCAUUGGCAUCCUGAGUAGUGAAAAGAUCAGCAGGGAGUAGCAUCAGUUCGCUACUGUGUGGAGGGACAGUGUUUCUCCCUAUACUCAUGGACAGUACUGUACAUCUAAACAUAUGAUUCAUAUUAUAAAUUGUUUCAUAAUGUGAGGUGGGUUUUUUUCAUUCAUAAUAUCAAUUAUCAUAUAUGGUGAAUUUAGCAUCUUACAAAUAUACUGUGCAUGGAAUUUCUUCACUUACACUGUUUUCAGCAUUUUGAGGCAAAACUCUUUUCAUGUGUUACAUUUAUGUUUAUUGUUUCCUCAACAAUAAAGAACUAGCAAAAUGA